rnacentral:rRNA from 1 species
UACAGAGGGUGCAAGCGUUGUUCGGAAUUAUUGGGCGUAAAGGGUGCGUAGGCGGUGCGGUAAGUCUCUUGUGAAAUCUCCGGGCUCAACCCGGAGCCUCCAAGGGAAACUGCCGUGCUUGAGUGUGGGAGAGGUGAGUGGAAUUCCCGGUGUAGCGGUGAAAUGCGUAGAUAUUGGGAGGAACACCAGUGGCGAAGGCGGCUGCCUGGACCGGUUCUGACGCUGAGGCGCGAAAGCGUGGGUAGCAAACAGG